rnacentral:rRNA from 1 species
UACGUAGGGCGCGAGCGUUGUCCGGAUUUAUUGGGCGUAAAGAGCUCGUAGGCGGCUUGUCGCGUCGACUGUGAAAACCUAGGGCUCAACCCUGGGCCUGCAGUCGAUACGGGCAGGCUUGAGUGUGGUAGGGGAGACCGGAACACCUGGUGUAGCGGUGAAAUGCGCAGAUAUCAGGUAGAACACCGGUGGCGAAGGCGGGUCUCUGGGCCAUUACUGACGCUGAGGCACGAAAGCGUGGGGAGCAACGG